rfam:Schistosoma haematobium scaffold505_17, whole genome shotgun sequence.
AUCCACCUGACGAGUCCCGGAUAGGACGAAAUGCGUGUCAUGUAU